rnacentral:rRNA from 1 species
CGACCGGCGCACGGGUGAGUAACACGUAUCCAACCUGCCGUCUACUCUUGGACAGCCUUCUGAAAGGAAGAUUAAUACAAGAUGGCAUCAUGAGUCCGCAUGUUCACAUGAUUAAAGGUAUUCCGGUAGACGAUGGGGAUGCGUUCCAUUAGAUAGUAGGCGGGGUAACGGGCCCACCUAGUCUUCGAUGGGUAGGGGGUUCUGAGAGGAAGGGUCCCCCACAUUGGAACUGAGANACGGUCCAAACUCCUACGGGAGGCAGCAUG